CAAUAAAUAUAGAAAAAGGUGUUGCGACAACAACACCCCACAGAGCCGUUUAAGACGGUGGCUGUAAUUACAUAACUAAAAA
rnacentral:sRNA from 1 species